AGAAACACCAUCGUCGGCCUCCAGUAAAGUUGUAUAUUCUAAUUGCAUUUUCAAUAAUUGUUCCUUUUCUUAAAAUAUAAAAUUAAAACCAAAUGAUGUUUAUUAAUCCUAGACGAAAAUUUGGCACUAGUGCAAAUUAUCGAUAAUUUGCACUAGUGCAGUAUUAUCGCUGAAAUUUGAUCGUUGCUAGGUAAACAUAAAAUAUUACAGCUUUUUGGUUGGCUUAAAUUUUUCGAAGGAAAUAGUCAAUAUUAAUGUCCCGAGUGCAUGUCAAAUUCAUAGAAACACCAUCGUCGGCCUCCAGUAAAGUUGUAUAUUCUAAUUGCAUUUUCAAUAAUUGUUCCUUUUCUUAAAAUAUAAAAUUAAAACCAAA